rnacentral:rRNA from 1 species
UAGAGUUUGAUCCUGGCUCAGAUUGAACGCUGGCGGCAGGCCUAACACAUGCAAGUCGAGCGGAUGAAGGGAGCUUGCUCCUGGAUUCAGCGGCGGACGGGUGAGUAAUGCCUAGGAAUCUGCCUGGUAGUGGGGGAUAACGUCCGGAAACGGGCGCUAAUACCGCAUACGUCCUGAGGGAGAAAGUGGGGGAUCUUCGGACCUCACGCUAUCAGAUGAGCCUAGGUCGGAUUAGCUAGUUGGUGGGGUAAAGGCCUACCAAGGCGACGAUCCGUAACUGGUCUGAGAGGAUGAUCAGUCACACUGGAACUGAGACACGGUCCAGACUCCUACGGGAGGCAGCAGUGGGGAAUAUUGGACAAUGGGCGAAAGCCUGAUCCAGCCAUGCCGCGUGUGUGAAGAAGGUCUUCGGAUUGUAAAGCACUUUAAGUUGGGAGGAAGGGCAGUAAGUUAAUACCUUGCUGUUUUGACGUUACCAACAGAAUAAGCACCGGCUAACUUCGUGCCAGCAGCCGCGGUAAUACGAAGGGUGCAAGCGUUAAUCGGAAUUACUGGGCGUAAAGCGCGCGUAGGUGGUUCAGCAAGUUGGAUGUGAAAUCCCCGGGCUCAACCUGGGAACUGCAUCCAAAACUACUGAGCUAGAGUACGGUAGAGGGUGGUGGAAUUUCCUGUGUAGCGGUGAAAUGCGUAGAUAUAGGAAGGAACACCAGUGGCGAAGGCGACCACCUGGACUGAUACUGACACUGAGGUGCGAAAGCGUGGGGAGCAAACAGGAUUAGAUACCCUGGUAGUCCACGCCGUAAACGAUGUCGACUAGCCGUUGGGAUCCUUUGAGAUCUUAGUGGCGCAGCUAACGCGAUAAGUCGACCGCCUGGGGGAGUACGGCCGCAAGGUUAAAACUCAAAGGAAUUGACGGC